UCAGUCGACUCCUACGGGGAGGCAGCAGUGAGGAAUAUUGGUCAAUGGAGGCAACUCUGAACCAGCCAUGCCGCGUGCAGGAUGACUGCCCUAUGGGGUUGUAAACUACUUUUAUACAGGAAGAAACGUACCCUCGUGAGGGUGCCUGACGGUACUGUAGGAAUAAGCACCGGCUAACUCCGUGCCAGCAGCCGCGGUAAUACGGAGGGUGCGAGCGUUAUCCGGAUUUAUUGGGUUUAAAGGGUCCGUAGGCGGAUUAAUAAGUCAGUGGUGAAAUCCCAUCGCUUAACGAUGGAACUGCCAUUGAUACUGUUAGUCUUGAAUGAGGGUGCAGUGGUUGGAAUGUGUAGUGUAGCGGUGAAAUGCAUAGAUAUUACACAGAACACCGAUUGCGAAGGCAGAUCACUAACCCUAAAUUGACGCUGAGGGACGAAAGCGUGGGGAGCGAACAGGAUUAGAUACCCUGGUAG
rnacentral:rRNA from 1 species